UUAGAAUAUAUGAUGCCUGAAGCCUUGGACAGAACAUUUAUCAGCGCAGUCUGACCAUCCAAACUGUUUCCAUCUGUCCAUAAUGUGACAUCAUAACGGGAAUUCUGAACAGAAAAGGCAGCCCAGGGUCAUUGCUAGAAGAGCUCUGAAGUCAUCUGCCCCAAGGGCAGGUGGAAAUUGAAGCCAGCUGCAGCUGAGGUUGCACAGCAGGGUGAUAUUCAGCCCUGCUGUUGCGAAUCACCUGGAGUUUUUUAUCCUCUGAAAGGGCUCACAUAAGGCUGAGUAUAGAAGUGUGGCUGCACAGACACCUUGCUGUUAGUAGUGAGAUUGUGAACUGGAGAUUUUUAAAUACAGAUUAAGAAAAUAGAUGGAAAGAGCCUCAUCAUCUAUCAAGUAGAUAAAACUAUACAUCAAUGAACAUGCACAGGC
rnacentral:lncRNA from 12 species